AAUUUUGGACAAUGGGGGAAACCCUGAUCCAGCCAUCCCGCGUGUAUGAUGAAGGCCUUCGGGUUGUAAAGUACUUUUGGCAGGGAAGAAAAGCCGCGGGUUAAUACCCUGCGGUGCUGACGGUACCUGCAGAAUAAGCACCGGCUAACUACGUGCCAGCAGCCGCGGUAAUACGUAGGGUGCAAGCGUUAAUCGGAAUUACUGGGCGUAAAGCGUGCGCAGGCGGUUCGGCAAGAAGGAUGUGAAAUCCCGGGGCUUAACCUCGGAACUGCAUUCUUAACUGCCGGGCUAGAGUAUGUCAGAGGGGGGUAGAAUUCCGCGUGUAGCAGUGAAAUGCGUAGAGAUGCGGAGGAAUACCGAUGGCAAAGGCAGCCCCCUGGGAUAAUACUGACGCUCAGACACGAAAGCGUGGGGAGCAAACA
rnacentral:rRNA from 1 species